rnacentral:misc_RNA from 1 species
GAUGAAGAACGUAGCGAAAUGCGAUAAGUAAUGUGAAUUGCAGAAUUCAGUGAAUCAUCGAAUCUUUGAACGCACAUUGCGCCCGCCAGUAUUCUGGCGGGCAUGCCUGUUCGAGCGUCAUUUCAACCAUCAAGCCCCCGGCUUGUGUUGGGGACCUGCGGCUGCCGCAGGCCCUGAAAACCAGUGGCGGGCUCGCUAGUCACUCCGAGCGUAGUAAUACAUCUCGCUCAGGGCGUGCUGCGGGUUCCGGCCGUUAAAAAGCCUUAUUUACCCAAGGUUGACCUCGGAUCAGGUAGGAAGACCCGCUGAACUUAAGCAUAUCAAUAAGCCGGAGGA